AACCUAGCACACCUGCGGUGUGUACCUGCGGAAGGAUCAUUACCGAGUUUACAACUCCCAAACCCCUGUGAACAUACCUAUACGUUGCCUCGGCGGAUCAGCCCGCGCCCCGUAAAACGGGACGGCCCGCCCGAGGACCCCUAAACUCUGUUUUUAGUGGAACUUCUGAGUAAAACAAACAAAUAAAUCAAAACUUUCAGCAACGGAUCU
rnacentral:misc_RNA from 1 species